UACGGAGGAUGCGAGCGUUAUCCGGAUUUAUUGGGUUUAAAGGGUGCGUAGGCGGAUUGAUAAGUCAGUGGUGAAAUUCUACAGCUUAACUGUAGACUUGCCGUUGAUACUGUUAGUCUUGAGUUUGGUUAAGGUAGGCGGAAUGUGUAAUGUAGCGGUGAAAUGCUUAGAUAUUACACAGAACACCAAUUGCGUAGGCAGCUUACUGAGCCGACACUGACGCUGAGGCACGAAAGCGUGGGGAUCAAACAGGAUUAGAUA
rnacentral:rRNA from 1 species